AUUGAACGCUAGCGGGAUGCCUUACACAUGCAAGUCGAACGGAGUGGCGAACGGGUGAGUAAUGUAUCGGAACGUGCCCAGUAGCGGGGGAUAACUACGCGAAAGCGUAGCUAAUACCGCAUACUAUUGGAGCGGCCGAUAUCGGAUUAGCUAGUUGGUGGGGUAACGGCUCACAAAGGCGACGAUCCGUAGCUGGUUUGAGAGGACGACCAGCCACACUGGGACUGGGACACGGCCCAAACUCCUACGGAGGGCGGCGGAUGGGAAUUUUGGACAUGGGGGGAACCCCUGAUCCAGCCAUCCCGCGUAUGCGAUGAAGGCCUUCGGGUUGUAAGGCACUUUUGGCAGGAAAGCGGUACCUACAGAGUAAGCAACGGCUAACUACGUGCCAGCAGCCGCGGUAAUAC
rnacentral:rRNA from 1 species